rnacentral:sRNA from 1 species
GACAGUUUUGCGGAGAACACUUUGUAUAAUUCUGAUAUUUACAUUUUGCGUGCACUGUGUUUCAGUUUGAGUCUUGCAGAGAGUGUAGAAGAGAGUACCAUGUUGGAGAUUGUGAAGAAUAUCUAGAGUCUCUUCGUUUAGAUCUUUCUAACUUGGAAAUAAACAAUGAGAGAGCCCUGAGAGCAUCAUGGGAAAGAGAAAGUACAAAUCUGAUUGAGGAAACAACCAAAACUUGUCCAGGCUGUCAGACUAAAACAGAACGAAGUGGUGGCUGCAUGCAUCUGGUAUGUACAAGAUGUCGGACUGAAUGGUGUUGGGUUUGUGUCAAGCCAUGGAAUAGAGAUUGUCAGGCUGAUCAUUGGUUUGGCUAACAGUACUGUUAAUAGAUUUAGUAAUGAAGCAGUUAGCUAAUAGUACUGUUAUGAAUAGAUUUAGUAAUGAAACAGUUGGCUAACAGUAUUGUUAUGAAUAGUUUUAGUAACAAAACAGUUGGCUAACAGUACUGUUAUGAAUAGUUUUAGUAACGAAACAGUUGGCUAACAGUACUGUUAUGAAUAGUUUUAGUAACGAAACAGUUGGCUAACAGUACUGUUAUGAAACAGUUGUCAAAAAGAUUCAUUUAGUUUCUUCAAGUUAGGGAAAAAAAAUGAAACAGAGAAUAGCGUCGCUAGAGGAUUAAAGGGACAGCCUUUAUUAAAACCAGUAAAUGGAAAGAUUGUCUUAGGGAUUCCGAAUAUUCAUGUGGUUAAUUUGGUAUCUGCUUCACUGCUAGACACUUCAG